UUCAAGAGAAAUUGUUGGAUUUCAAGGAAUCAAGCAAGUAAAGGUGGUGAGCCCUUUGAUAAGGGUAAAAAUAUUGUACCCGAGAACCAAAAAUAAGAGUACUCCAAACUCCUGCUAUUCUUACUGCAGUGGGCGGGUUUCAGUAGACUAGCCUAUUAGAGGGGCACGGUAAACCCAGUUAUAUUUUACCUUGGUACGAGAGGCGCGGAAGGUAUCUCUUAAGGUAAAGUUAGAGUUCACCUCACACCGAACCACCACGUGAGGGUGAAACUUAGCCAACGCCAAGAAAUGACUGUGCUUUUAAAUGUAAAAGAAAAAUGAGUUUUAUACUCAUAUGUUAUUUUAACAGCCUUGGCGGACUCAGUUGGAUGCCUCGACGCAAGGUGUCACCAAGUGCAAGUUUUUGGCAUGAGUCAAGUUUUAAGAGAAUCAUAAGCCUUGUUGAUUUUGAUGAAAUGAAAUUGAUUUACAUGGGUUGAAAUGA